GUGAACGCUGGCGGUAGACCUAACACAUGCAAGUCGAACGGCAGCACAGUAAGAGCUUGCUCUUACGGGUGGCGAGUGGCGGACGGGUGAGGAAUACAUCGGAAUCUACUUUUUCGUGGGGGAUAACGUAGGGAAACUUACGCUAAUACCGCAUACGACCUACGGGUGAAAGCAGGGGAUCUUCGGACCUUGCGCGAUUGAAUGAGCCGAUGUCGGAUUAGCUAGUUGGCGGGGUAAAGGCCCACCAAGGCGACGAUCCGUAGCUGGUCUGAGAGGAUGAUCAGCCACACUGGAACUGAGACACGGUCCAGACGCCUACGGGAGGCAGCAGUGGGGAAUAUUAGACAAUGGGCGCAAGCCUGAUCCAGCCAUACCGCGUGGGUGAAGAAGGCCUUCGGGUUGUAAAGCCCUUUUGUUGGGAAAGAAAAGCAGCAGGUUAAUACCCCGCUGUUCUGACGGUACCCAAAGAAUAAGCACCGGCUAACUUCGUG
rnacentral:rRNA from 1 species